ensembl:snoRNA SNORD58 Small nucleolar RNA SNORD58
CUGCAAUGAUGACCACUUAGGACACCUUUGGAUUAUUGAUGAAAAGAAUACCAGUUUCUGAGCAGC